CUUGACUAUGGAUACAUUAGCAUAGCAGAGUUGAACAAAAUCAAAAUCCCUCACUUCCAGUUAGGAGAUAAGAGCAGGCUUGGAUCCUGGCUUAUUUUGCUUAAGGCUUAAUCAUUUGGCUCCCAGAGAAUGACCAUAAUGAGGCUCCUGGGACCAACCAUAGGUUAAAGAAAAACCAUCUGGUGCUGAGAAUCCAAAGGCAGUGGGAAAUCCUCAACAGGAACUGGAGAGGUUGGAGAAAUAAUAGAGCAGAAGCCACCUGGAAGCAGGAGGGGCCCAAACAACAGGGCAGGUUGUUAGCUGCAUUGCACAUAGAAGGGUAGAAGAGGAAGAAUGAUUUUACUUCUUGACAAAGAAGAAGAAGGAAAGACGUCUGCAGUGUAAGCAUGUCUGGGAGUCCCUGCCACCUGCUGCCAUUCAUUUAAUCAUCCCUGGGAGCCGGACUGCAGGCCCUGUGCCAGGCUGUCAGCAGCAGAAACUGGCAAGGAGAGAGCUCACUCAGCAGCUAUUAGAUACCAGGGCAUGCCCACCAGUUACAGUGUGAACUGGAGACUGGAGGAACAGGAAGCAAUGGCUGAUCUCAGCAGUCAGCAGGAAGAAAAGUAAGGC
rnacentral:lncRNA from 1 species